CCGCGCGCCGUGGACAGCGAUUGGCCUUAUUCGUCAAGGGUCGCUACUCCAGUAACAUUUUUGGAGGCCCAUGGUUCAUCCGGGACCGUGUACGUCGCUGAUGAAUGGAGCAGGCCCUUCUCCUCCAACAGGCCCAUUCCCACGCGGCUCGCUCGACCCCAACCCUAGCCGCCACUGCUCCAUGUGCCUCGCGCCGGCGGCCGACGGGACGAAGGACGCGGCCACGCCGCCCUUUCCCAGACGCCCCGGUAGCGCCGCCUUCUUCUCCCCCUGAUGCCCCUCACGAGCGCCUCCGCGACGAGGACCUGCUCCAUCUCCCUCUGCUGCCCCGUUUGAGCGCCGCCGCGAUCUUGAGAUGCUCCAGCGACGCCGCCCCGAUCGAGCUCCUCUGCAACCAGCAAGACCUCCGCCUUCAUCUCCCUCGGCCGCCGCCGGUAGUACGUGUUCCUUCUUCCCUCUUCGGUCGCGGUCGAGCGACGCCACGUGCUCCAGCGACGCCGCCCCGACCUAGCUCAUUCACCUGCACGCCCUCCACUCUGGCCCCGACGACUAGGAAAGCUCAGCAUGCCGUCCCGCGUCAACUUCUCCAACGCCUGGCGGCUCAUCGGCGACACGGCCAUGAACCCCGUCGACAUAGUCUUCGGUGAGAAUUACCAACUGACUGUCACCUGCUAAUUGAUAUUGGAAAAGCGUUCUUCUCUUCUUCCCGCGUCACCUGCUAAUUGAUAUUGGAAAAGCGUUCUUCCCUUCCUUCCCAAAAUUGGUGCAAAUUGGGAUGCUUUUGGAUGCCAUGAUGAUGGAGGCCAGGAAGGGCUUGAUGGAGAGGGAGAGGGAUCAGUUUUCGGUCAGCAUACGGGUCAUGGCUGUCAACAAUGACCACGUGUGCCUCAAUGUUAUGAAGGUCAUCCUCCAGCACUGCCAGUAUCAUGGUCAGAGCCUCCUUGCACUUCAUUGUGUAUAUUUUUGUUAGAAACUUCAUCGAGUUUUAAUUAUUACGCCCAUGAGCAAAUGCAGUCACAUUAUCUUCAAUGCCAAGAUCAACGUUCUCCUGACCUUCAGGCCCUUUGCUAUCACGUUCCAUUACCUCUCCAGAAACCACAAUAAUCGCACUUGCAAAUUAAUUUGCAGUAUUCAUCAGAGUUGUACAGUAUGACUUUCCUUUUAUGAUUUAUUUUUUCUAUAUAUUUAGUGGUACUUCUGAAUCUUUCAUAGCACAAGCAUUCUUCUAAUGCAUUAUAUGUCACCUUUAGUAGCAGGAGCAAGACAGUGCCUUCUAUAUCCUCAAUUCCCUAUCUUCAAAUGCUUCAUAGCAAGGAUGGGUUCCCUUUGCUAGGUGGGGACUUCUAAAUGCUACUGGAAAUAAGAUGAAGAUGAUUAUUUGAACAUGCACACAAGAAUGAAAUGAUUUGUGACAUCCAGCAGCCACUACUACGCUCUGUAAUGUCAAAGAUAUUGUUAUUGUGGUGAUGUGCUUCCUUUGAUGCCUUCCUUUGAUGAUUCGCUUCAGCCUAGAUGUUGGUGCACUACGGAAACUUGAAGUUUCUCUUUCACAUAUACUGCAUCAUGACUGUGCAUUGAUCCAAGGAAUUCAAGGUGCAUAUCUUCGACAAACUUGUGCAGUGAAGCGGGAUCGCAGCUCAGGUGCUCAUCAAGCAUAAUCUCCCGAGAGUUUAGGAAGCACCUCUCUGAUCCUGGUUUUGAUUCCAAGUUGUAGGCCGGAAAUGUCGUACUCGGACGACGAAAAUCGCCCGGGGAGUACGACUGGUGCCACGAUGACCGAGGUAUGUGCGACAGGUUCAUUGAGCUGGACGAAGAUUGACGCUUCAGCAUUAAGCUCGAGGAGACCUUCGAUGUUCAUACGAUUAUCUCAUGCUAUGCAAAACGCUAUGUCUUGGAGAGGAUGGGUUUUGAAGACCAUGAAAGUAUGGAAACCAAAACAAAUUCUCCUAAGGACCCAUCAUGGUAUGGAUUUUCAAGUAAAGUUGUAUAAGAAAGCAAAAAGAAUAGCAAAAAUUGGAAAGCACUUUGCAAGAUGUAUGGUUUUGAUGAGGGUAUGCUUGUCACCAUGGAUCUUGGUGAUCCUACAAUCGAGCAAGACAGACCUUCGAUUUGGGUCCUUGUGGAUACACCUCCAAUUCUUCCCCCAUAAUGUGCGGAAGAUGGUAGACAAAACCCACUACACCGAUGGCUCCAAAUUAACUUAUAGGGAGAAAAAUCAUCUGAUCGCAUUUUGUACUGAUCUUGAG